UAGAUACCCUGGUAGUCCUGGCCGUAAACGAUGGGUACUAGGUGUAGGAGGUAUCGACCCCUUCUGUGCCGGAGUUAACGCAAUAAGUACCCCGCCUGGGGAGUACGGCCGCAAGGUUGAAACUCAAAGGAAUUGACGGGGGCCCGCACAAGCGGUGGAGUAUGUGGUUUAAUUCGACGCAACGCGAAGAACCUUACCAAGCCUUGACAUUGAUCGCAAGGAGUAGAGAUACUCUGUUCUUCUUCGGAAG
rnacentral:rRNA from 1 species